rnacentral:lncRNA from 1 species
GUGGGCUAUUGUAACUCUAUGUAUAAAUCAGUCAUCAGCUGGGGCUGGAGUAGGAGUUGUAAUAUCUUGGACAUCUUUUGGAGAGGCAGCUCCAGUUGGGCAUUGGCAAUCAUCUAUAUGAAUUAGAAGCUUUUAUUAGGCAACACACAAGUGGAGUGAUGGAAUCAGCAGCUCAAUAAAGGAGAUUCUGGUGGAUCUCGCAAAUUUUAAAGUUCCGUUUUUAUUUUCUUUUAGUUCAAAAUCUUUUUAAAAUUUAUCUUGAGAUUUCAUCUUUGAGCUAUGUGGUUUUAGAAAUGUGUUGUUUAAUCUCCAGAUAUUUUGGGAUUUCUCAGCUAUUUCUCUGUUAUUGAUUUCUAGCUUAAGUCCAUUAUGGUCUAAGAGCAGACAUUGUAUGAUUCUAUUCUUUUAAAUUUGUUAAAAUGUGUUUUAUGUCCCAGAAUUUUGUCUGCCUUGGUGAAUGUUCCACAUGACCUUGAGAAGAAUGUGUAUCCUUUUGUUAUUCAUAAACUAGUCUAUAGAUGUCCAUUAUAUGCAAUUGAUCGGUGGCUCUAAGUUCAACUCUGUGGUUACUGAUUUUCUGCCUGCUGGAUCUGUCCAUUUAUAACAGAGGGGUGUUAAAGUAUUCCACUGUAAGAGUGAAUUAAUCUAUUUCUCCAUGCAGUUCUAUCAGUUUUCGCCUCAUGUUUUGACACUGUGUUUUUAGGUGUAUUCAUAUUAAGGAUUUUUAUGUCUUGUUGGAUAAUUGACCCCCUUAUUAUAAUACAAUGUCCUCUUUAUCCCUGAUAAAUAUCCUUGCUGUGAAGUCUGCUUGGUCUGAAACUAAUAUUACUACUCAUGCUUUAUUUCUAUUAGUAUUAGCAUAGUAUGUAUUUCUCCAUUUACUUUUAAUCUUAUGUAUGUGUUUUUAAAUUAUAGAUUUAGGGAGUACAAGUGCAUCUUUGUUACAUGGAUAUAUUGCAUAUAUGUAAUACAUCUUUUAAUGUAGCCAUAACCCCAAGUCUCCAAUGAUGAUUAUUCUACUCUGUAUGUCCGUGUGUAUACAUUAUUUAAUUCCCACUUAUAAGUGAGAACAUAUGUGUUUGACUUUAUGCUUCUGAGUUAUUUUGCUUAAGAUAAUGGCCUCUAGUUCCAUUCAUGUUGCUGCAAAGACAGUAUUUUAUUCUUUUUUACUACUGAGUACUAUUCUAUUGUGUGUGUGUACAUAUAUAUAUAUAUGCCACAUUUCCUUUAUCCAAUCAUCCAUUGAUGGACAUUUAUGUUGAUUCCAUAUCUUUGCUAAUGUGAACAGUGAUGCUGUAAACAUUAGCACUGAUAUAUUUUUGGUGUAAUGAUUUCAGUUCUUUGAGUAGAUAGAUACCCUGAAGUGAGAUUGCUAAAUCAAAUGGUAGUUCUAUUUUCAGUUCUUUGAGAAAUCUCCAUACUGUUUCCCGUAGAGGUUAUGCUAAUUUACAUUUCUACCAGCAGGGUAUAAGUGUUCUCUUGUCUCCGCAUCAUUACCAAUUAUCUGUUGUUUCUUUUCUUUUUUCUUUUUUUUUUUUCUUUUCUUUUUUUGAGAUGGAGUCUUGCUCUGUCGCCCAGGCUGUAGUGCAGUGGUGCAAUCUCGGCUCACUGCAAGCUCCGCCUCCCAGGUUCACGCCAUUUUCCUGCCUCAGCCUCCGGAGUAGCUGGGACUACAGGCGCCCGCCACCACACCCGGCUAAUUUUUUGUACUUUUAGUAGAUACGGGGUUUCAUAAUAGACAUUCUGACUGGUAUAAAAUGGUAUCGCAUCUGGUUUAAGUUUACGUUUCUUUGGUGCUUGAUUUUUUUUUUCACGUGCUUGUUGACCACUUGUAUGUCUUCUUUUGAAAAAUAUUAGCUCAUGUCCUUGGCCCAUUUUUUCAUGGUGUUAUUUUGUUUGUUUUGAUUUUUUAGAGAUAUUUGAAUUUCUUGGAGAUUGUGGAUAUUAGUUUUUUUAUCAAAUGCAUAGUUUGCAAAUAUUUUCUCUCAUUCUGCAGGAUGUCUGUUCAUUCUGUUGAAUAUUUCUUUUUCUGUGCAAAAACUUUUUAGUUUUAAUUAAAUCCCAUUUGUCUACUUAUAUUUUUGUUGUAUUUGCUUUUGAGGUCUUAGUCAAGAAUGCUUUGCCAAGGCCAAUGUCCAAUAGAGUUUUUCUAGGUCUUCUUACAGGGCUUUUCUGGUUUCAGGUCUCAGAUUUAAGUAUUUAAUCCAUGUUAAUUUUUGUAUAGAGUGAGAAAUAGAAGUCCAGUUUCAUUCUUAUGUAUUUGGCAAUCCAAUUUUCUCAGCACCACUGUUGAAUAGAGUGUCCUUUCCUCCGUGUAUGUUUUUGUCAGCUUUGUCAAAGAUAAGUUGGCUGUGGUCUGUGGCUUUAUUUUUGGAUUUUCCAUCUAGUUUCAUUGAUGUGUUUGACUAUUUUUUUUUUCAGUACAAUGCUGUUUGGGUUUCUAUAGCCUCACAGUGUAAUUUCAAAUCCGAUAAUGUGAUGCCUCCACCUUCUUUUUUUUUUUUUUAAUUUUGCUUUGGAUUUCUUUGGCUACUUGGGCACCUUUUUGUUCCAUAUAAAUUUUAGGAUUUUUUUUUUUCUAGUUCUGUGAAAAAUGCCUUUGGUAUUUGAAUAGGAAUUGCAUUGAAUUUGUAGAUUGCAUUGGGCCGUGUGAUCAUUUUAAUGAUACUGAUUCUUCUGAUUUAUGAGCACAGGAUAUUUUUCCAUUUGUUUUAUUAUCUAUGAUUUCUUUCAUCAGUGUUUUUUAGUUCUCCUUGUAGAGACCUUUAACUUCCUUGUUUAAAUGCCUUUCCAAGUUUUUUUUUUUUUUUUUUUGCUAUUGUAAAUGGGAAUAAAUUCCUGAUUUGGUUGUCAGUUUGAUUAGUAUUGAUAUAUAGAAAUAUUCUUGAUUUUUGUACAUUGAUUUAAUAUCCUGAUAUUUUACUGAUGUCACUUAUCUAUUCUAGGAGUCUCUUGGCAGAAUGUUUAGGGUUUUCUAGGUAUAAGAUAAUAUCUUUAGAAAACAGAUAAUUCGACUCUGUCCUUUCCAAUUUGCACGCCUUUUAUCUCUUUGUAUUUCCUGGUUGCUAUGGUUGGAAAUCCCAGUACUGCAUUAAAUAGGAGAGGUGAAAGUCGUCAUCCUUGCUUGUUCUGGUUCUCAACAGGAAUUUUUUGAACUUUUCCCC